GACGAACGCUGGCGGCGUGCUUAACACAUGCAAGUCGAACGGAAAGGCCCUGCGUUUGUGGGGUGCUCGAGUGGCGAACGGGUGAGUAACACGUGAGUAACCUGCCCUUGACUUUGGGAUAACUUCAGGAAACUGGGGCUAAUACCGGAUAGGAGCUCCUGCUGCAUGGUGGGGGUUGGAAAGUUUCGGCGGUUGGGGAUGGACUCGCGGCUUAUCAGCUUGUUGGUGGGGUAGUGGCUUACCAAGGCUUUGACGGGUAGCCGGCCUGAGAGGGUGACCGGCCACAUUGGGACUGAGAGACGGCCCAGACUCCUACGGGAGGCAGCAGUGGGGAAUAGUGCACAAUGGGCGGAAGCCUGAUGCAGCAACGCCGCGUGCGGGAUGACGGCCUUCGGGUUGUAAACCGCUUUCGCCUGUGACGAAGCGUGAGUGACGGUAAUGGGUAAAGAAGCACCGGCUAACUACGUG
rnacentral:rRNA from 1 species